rnacentral:rRNA from 1 species
GAACGUCGUGAGACAGUUCGGUCCCUAUCUGCCGUGGGCGUUUGAGAAUUGAAGAGGGCUGCUCCUAGUACGAGAGGACCGGAGUGGACGAACCGCUGGUGUUCGGGUUGUUAUGCCAAUAGCAUUGCCCGGUAGCUACGUUCGGAACUGAUAACCGCUGAAAGCAUCUAAGCGGGAAGCAGGCUUUGAGAUGAGUUCUCACUGGAGCUUUAAGCUCCCUAAAGGGUCGUUGGAGACUACAACGUUGAUAGGUUGGGUGUGGAAGUGCUGCGAGGCAUUGAGCUAACCAAUACUAAUUACCCGUGAGGCUUA